rnacentral:rRNA from 1 species
AUCUUAAUUAAUUUUAAUCAAAUUUAAAGUAAGAAAUGAAAGUAACCGACCCGUCUUGAAACACGGACCAAGGAGUCUUGCAAAUGAAUGCUUUGCAAUGUUGAAUGCAAAAAAGCGAGUGAAGGCAAAAAGUAAUAACCCGCAAGGGGUUAAGAUUGUUACUUCAUAAUAAUUGUAAAUUAUUUGGGGUAAACAAUGGUUAUUUGCAAGGACCCGAAAGAUGGUGAACUAUGCCUGUUCAGAAGGAAUCCAGGUGAAAGCCUGGUGAAAGUUCUUAGCGGUUCUGACGUGCAAAUCGAUCGUCAGAAAUGGGCAUAGGGGCGAAAGACUAAUCGAACCAUCUAGUAGCUGGUUCCACUUGAAGUUUCCCUUAGGAUAGCUGAUCAUAAUUAAAAGAGUUUAAUCCGGUAAAGCGAAUGAUUAGACGGAUUAGAGACAUAAUGUUUUUAACUUAUUCUCAAACUUUAAAUGGGUUAGAUGUCUAUGUUGCUAACUUGAACAUAGCACGCAAGAAUCAUUUGAUCAAGUGGGCCAUUUUUGGUAAGCAGAACUGGCGCUGUGGGAUGAACCAAAAGCUAGUUUAAAGUAUCAAAGUAAUAGCAAAUCAGAUUCCACGAAAGGUGUUAAUUGCUCACGACAGCAGGACGGUGGCCAUGGAAGUCGGAAUCCGCUAAGGAAUGUGUAACAACCCACCUGCCGAAGCAAUUAGCCCUGAAAAUGGAUGACGCUAUAGCUAUUCCAGAACUUAAAACUAGCUUCUAGGCUAAAUUAUCUAGCCUAUAAAGUAAAGUGGUGAUUUAACCGCAGCCAAAGAAAGAUGAGAAUCUUUCACAAGCGGUUAAGUGUACAGAUCUUGGUGGCAGUAGCAAAUAUUCCAAUGGGGUCUUGGAAGGCCGAAGUGGAGAAGGUUUUCGUGUGAACAGUUUUUGACCACGAGUGAGGCGGUCCUAAAUAAGAAAGGAAACUUAUUACAAUUUUAUGAAAGGGAAAUAGGUUUAAAUUCCUAUUCCAUAAGCGCUAGAAUUUACUCUGUAAACCUGGUAACAGGGAUUUUCAUUCGGACACAAAGCUAAACUUUAAAGAGAAUUUUCUCUUCUGAUUAAGCUAUGUAAUCCUUUAAAUAGCAUUGAGCUGAGACAAGGAUCAGCAAUAGCGCAGAGCAACACAGAUCUUGCGUUGUUUAAAGCUUUAGCCUUGUCCUUGAAAACGAAUGAAAAAUGGUUAUCUAGCCUAUGGCCGUACCCAUAUCCGCAGCAGGUCUCCAAGGUGAAAAGCCUCUGGUCGAUAGAAUAAUGUAGGUAAGGGAAGUCGGCAAAUAAGCUCUGUAACUUUGGGAGAAGGAAUGGCUCUGAAAGUUGAAGUAUUUGGGCUUAAUAAUGGAAGCCGCUAUAGCAAAAGUUUGUUGAAAGCAUUCGCCUGAAAUGAACCAAGCUCUGGCUGUGAAAAUUAUUUAGCUUUAUGGUUGGAUUAUAUCUAGCCAUUCAAAUCACUGCUUAUCAACUCAUUCAGAACUGGCACAGAUUAGGGGAACCCGACUGUUUAAUUAAAACAAAGCAUUGAGAAAGUCUGAAAAGAUAUUGACUCAAUGUGAUUUCUGCCCAGUGCUCAGAAUGUCAAUUUGAAGAGGUUCAAAUAAGCGCGGGUAAACGGCGGGAGUAACUAUGACUCUCUUAAGGUAGCCAAAUGCCUCGUCAUCUAAUUAGUGACGCGCAUGAAUGGAUUAACGAGAUUCCCACUGUCCCUAUCUACUAUCUAGCGAAACC